rnacentral:rRNA from 1 species
CCUACGGGUGGCUGCAGUGGGGAAUAUUGGACAAUGGGCGAAAGCCUGAUCCAGCCAUGCCGCGUGUGUGAAGAAGGCCUUCGGGUUGUAAAGCACUUUCAGUGGGGAAGAAAGCCUUGGGGCUAAUACCCUCGAGGAAGGACAUCACCCACAGAAGAAGCACCGGCUAACUCCGUGCCAGCAGCCGCGGCAAUACGGAGGGUGCGAGCGUUAAUCGGAAUUACUGGGCGUAAAGCGCGCGUAGGCGGUCUGAUAAGCCGGUUGUGAAAGCCCCGGGCUCAACCUGGGAACGGCAUCCGGAACUGUCAGGCUAGAGUGCAGGAGAGGAAGGUAGAAUUCCCGGUGUAGCGGUGAAAUGCGUAGAGAUCGGGAGGAAUACCAGUGGCGAAGGCGGCCUUCUGGACUGACACUGACGCUGAGGUGCGAAAGCGUGGGUAGCAAACAGGAUUAGAUACCCUUGUAGUC